rnacentral:rRNA from 1 species
GACGAACGCUGGCGGCGUGCUUAACACAUGCAAGUCGAACGAAGUGGCGAACGGGUGAGUAACGCGUAAUCAACCUGCCCUUCAGAGGGGGACAACAGUUGGAAACGACUGCUAAUAUCGCAUACUGAAGGAGGGGAUUGCGUCUGAUUAGCUAGUUGGAGGGGUAACGGGCCACCAAGGCGAUGAUCAGUAGCCGGGCUGGAUGGAGGGACGGGAACAUUGGGACUGGGAAACGGCCCAGACUCCUGCGGGAGGCAGCAAGGGGGAAUCUUCCGCAAUGGACGGAAGUCUGACGGAGCAACGCCGCGUGAGUGAUGACGGGCUUCUGGUUGGAAAGCUCUGUUAAUCGGGACGCGGUACCGGAAUAGAAAGCCACGGCUAACUACGUGCCAGCAGCCGCGGUAAUAC